AAAUACCUUCUUUUUUUCUCAUACAAAGUUUUGUCUACUAUCACUCUCUCCUUUUCUAAUUCUUCAAUGUCAUUCUCUCUUUCUCUCCAACAAUACUCUGCUCAAUGAAUGAAUAUAUUGCAGAUCUUGACUUUUUGCUCCUCUCGUAGCAAACCUUUGACUCAUGGAUGAGUAUCGAGCUUACUAUCACUCGACGGGUCUCAAGUUUCAACUCAUAGCAGCUAGUUUUUUUCCUAAAGAGGGUUAGACCUGUUCCACACCGCCCACUCCGCGUUCCAGCAACUACUAUUCGAUGCCCAGGUCAUGCCGCUUCUAAACGCCGUCCUUCAGGUGGCUGGCAAAGAUCCGUUGAUAGUUGGCUCUUUAAAUCUUUCACUUUUCCCCAACAACGAUCACAAUUCUCCCUCUCCUUCACCGGUCAAUCAGCUGCCACCGGUCAAUUAGCCGUACCCGCACUACGCUCGGUAGACACUUUGAGGACUUGUGGAGCUGCUUCGAUGAGUCACCAUAAUCGGGUCGAACUAGGCGGUUAUACCUGCAGUCUACAACCUCCAUCGCACCUCAGGCGCUUGCCAUCGCAAGUGGAAUGCGAUUAAUUAGUUUGCCCUAGCCCACCAACGAUAAGUGGAAUGAGAUUAAUUACUUCGCCCUAGUCCGAAUGUGCCAGCCAAGCAGCAAGGAAUCGGAAAGGUCACAAGCCCACCAGGCGGGGGAGGGGCGCAAGUAGAUACAAAAAUCGAUGAAUUAUCCGACUUGACGCGAGGAAGGUGUGCACCCUUUACUCCGAAAAAGUGUCCACCAACAGUUGGGACCCAAGAGCCCGGUCAAGACAUUCGCUGACGUCACCCCACAAUCAAGUGAAAAGCGAGACUAGAGAAACCAGAUAAAAAAGUCCACAAUGUAUGGUUAAUGGAUUCGCGGGAUGAAAUUGCAAGGUUCAGAUUAAAAAUAGCACCCCCUCGUUUUUCCUCCUCAUUCAAGGACACGUUAAAAUCACCAAGGGGGGCCCAAAUUAGCAAUCCGUCAAAUUUCUUUCCUAAAAGAAGGCUCGUCCAGUAGCAUGCGAUCAUACGUAGAUAGCAGAAAACACAAAAGACGAGCAAUUAGAACUCUUGACCUCCAAAUGCACUAGCUGAUCAAUGGAGGAGAGGAGUAUGUGAGAAGAAGUAUGCCAAAGAACCAAAAUUCCACCAACAAACCCGCUAGCCUCUUCGACACUCCUACAGUGAAAGCCUAUACGAUCAAGAAUGGUGUUAGCAAUCCUGCCACGAACAUGCGGCAUGACAAUAAUAGCAAUAUUAGGCUUGAACUUUUGUUUAUAAUGACUGAAAGUUGGCAAAAAAUCAUCAUGCCUUACCCCAUUACAAUUCCAAGAAAAAACACUAAUCAUCAGUAGCAAGAAAAAAUUCCUUCCAUGAUCAAGAAGAGGUAUCCAUCAGCCUAGGGGGUGACUACAGAGGGUGGUUCUUUGGUGCUCGUUGCCCCACGAACAGUUUGUGCUACAGUAGUGGAAACACUCGGUUCUUGGGACGUCUUGGUAGUAGGUUGGAAGGAUCUGGAGGGAAGGUCCCCACGGUUGUGAACAUCUAAUGUCCAGAACGACACUGUAAUGUAGUAGUGGAAGAUUUUCCAGGGUCCACCAUAGGUCGCCUCCAAGUAAUCGUUCUUUGACUAGAAGCGGACAACAUAUCCAUGGUUUGAUAUAUCAGAAACCUGAGUAACACUCUCUGUCACCCAGAGUUAUUUCAGGCUACACGGAAACUCUUCGACGACGGAGGUUUCGGCAGAUCAGCGGAGUUUCUACCUUGUCCGCUUCAAGUCCUCCACAUCGAUAGCCCGAGAGAAGCAGCAUCUUUUCCGGGUGACCUUCACGGAUCCAGUCGGCGGAUAAAGGUCCUUGUUGACAUCGACCGACGGCGAAGCACGUGGGACGGGACUCGCACGGCCAGGAAGCUCCGACAUCUUCGGAGGACAAUGAAUUGUUAAUCUGGUCUCCUUAUUUUCAA
rnacentral:lncRNA from 1 species